UUAAGACCUAAAAAUAUGCUGGAUAAUAAAAUCAACUGAUUAAAAUUCAAAGAAUAUGGCGGUGUUUUUAUAUAAUCCGGGGAACCUGUAUCUUAAUUCGAUAUUCCACGAAAGUUCAACCUCUUUUUGUAAAUUCAGCCUGUGUACUGCUGUCGCCAGUAAACCUAUAAAAGAAAGUUUACAAUAAAUACAACCUAUUUUACGUCAAGUCAAAGUGCAGCCAAUAAAGAGGAGAUUAUGGGUUACAAUCUUAAUACAGAUUACGAAUGAAUAAAAUAAAAAUAUUCUAAAGGUGGACUUGAAAGUAAUAUUUAAACAAAAUCAAUAUAAAAAUUUCUAAAACAUGUACACAUCGCCCGUCACUCUCAUCUAAAGACG
rnacentral:rRNA from 1 species